GACGAACGCUGGCGGCGUGCCUAAUACAUGCAAGUCGAGCGCUGAAGGUUGGUACUUGUUCCAACUGGCUGAGCAGCGAACGGGUGAGUAACGCGUGGGGAAUCUGCCUUUGAGCAGGGGAUAACAUUUGGAAACGAAUGCUAAUACCGCAUAAAAACUUUAACCACAAGGUUUAAGUUUGAAAGAUGAAAUUGCUUCAAUUAAAGAUGAUCCCGCGUUCUAUUAGCUAGUUGGUGAGGUAAAGGCUCACCAAGGCGAUGAUACAUAGCCGACCUGAGAGGGUGGUCGGCCACAUUGGGACUGGGACACGGCCCAAGCUCCUACGGGAGGCAGCAGUAACGAAUCGUCAGCAAUGGACGAAAGGCUGACCGAGCAACGCCGCGGGAGGGGAGGAGGUUGUCGGAUCGGAAAACUUAGUUGGUAGAGAAGAACGAUGGUGAGAGUUGAAUGCUCACGUAGUGACGGUAACUACCCAGAAAGGGACGGCUAACUACGUG
rnacentral:rRNA from 1 species